UCGUGUUCGAGCAAGGAAGUCGACUGGCGACUGCUUCGUGUGGAAUAAAAACAGACUGCAUAUUGGUUCCCGUCUAAUUACAAGAAUUGCAAAUUGUUUUAUUGCCGAGGUAUACCUUCGUUUUUUGAUCUAUGAUCGGUUGGCUGGUGUAUAAACUCGACGGUGCAUUGACAGAGACAACAAGUCCGAAACUCUAACCAACAAGCGACUCGCUUAUACGAUGUCGAUUCAGAUUACGAUUUGACUAUUGCUGACAAUAGAUGCGGUCGUCUCAUUGCGAGCUACGGUAAUUGGAUUUCCCACGAGAAAUGUGAUCACUUGAAGUUCUUCUUCUUCUUCUUCUCAGCGCCAUCGCGGCAUUGCGAGAAGGAACAAGUAGCAAUUCGACUUGAAUGCAAUCCAUUUCCGACAGCUAGGAGAAACUUCAUCGCUGAUUGACCGACGGAACUGUGGAUAUUACUUGGUCAAAGUCUACUCUGCUGCACCUGCUAACGAGCCUGGAUACCUACACUGAAAUCUGAGAAGAGGAGUCGAUCCCUCGUUGUUUUACGUUGACAUUGGACGCUGUGUGGACCGUUAGACAACCUGGGCUCAAAACGCGAAGACCGACUCCCGUUGUAGCAGCACCCGACUUUCAUCUCCAGCGACCCCGUGGUCGAAGCGCUGCAAUCCAUACAUCAGAAGCCACUGCUACAUUCUUAGUGGUAUACCGUGCACAUGCAUGGUGCUCAUAACGCCGAGGAGUAGGAGCAAGCCACCGGGUACGGUUAAGCCCAUUACACAAUGUGACGUGAACGUAGGGAAUAUGAGAAUACUAUAGUACAUGUAUUGAUAGAAAUGGUACAAGACCCGAGAGUCUUGUUGCAGUUGCGAACAAUCAAC